rnacentral:tRNA from 1 species
CGCCCGGUAGCUCAGCUGUUAGAGCACUGGCUUCCCAAGCCAGAGGACCGGGGUUCGAUUCCCCGGGCGGGUGG